GGCUCGUUGUCUAACAAGGAUAAGCUUUGGGUUAAUAGUGAUUCGUUUUGUGAUGCACACUGUCACCUAGCCCAUCAAUGGAUUGCCCCACACAUGUUCUUUUUGUGUUUCUCGGGGAGGAGGUGAUGGGCUCGUUAUUUUGUCUCAUGGAUUUGACUUCUGAUUUCAGCCUGAAGUAGUCAGUUCAGGUUUCGUAUACGUCGUGUGGAUAUACGGGGUUUAAGUUACGCACAUGACGGCGUUGCUCACAUGUGGCGGAGGGUGUUUUACGGACUUCGAGUGUGUUCGAUCUACAUUCUAAAGGGUCGGUUGUCUUAGCUUGCACUGUAGGAGGGGGAAGGUAUAGAAGCAGCUGAACCUGUGGCUGCAGGAAAUAAACCCGAGGCAUCUUCCAGCUACGUGCUGAACAGCCAGGCUCUGGAUGCAUUGACGAAGGAUCAAGGACCAAAUCAGCUCUAUCCAGGAACUUUGGUUGUAAAUAAUGUCUACCAUACACCAACUCACAUGUGACCAACGUCCCCGAGCCUUGUGUUGUGGUCUGUGUACUGGAGAGAGUUGAACCACUUUAGAGAGUGACAUGCCUGGUGCAACAGUUACUUCCACACUCUUACUGUCAUAUUGAUGUGUUAAUCGGUUUAUUGGACAGUUAUAGCCGACCGCAGGACUGUCCUCAUCGGGCCAAGGGCACUGCACAACAACUACAUGUAUACACACAAGGGAAGCGUGACUGCUGAACUUUAAGUGAAUAGUCUUUAUCGCAGCCCCGUGGUUCGUUCUACUUCAGUCCGUGGCAGUCAACGGGUGUGUAUACCACGCUCUUCCUAACUGCUGCGUCCAAUUGGAUUAUUCCAGUACCGGGGACUAGCUAGCACUCGCAUUUUCUAAAAAAGACUGACUUCAGGAACAACUGUGAUCACUCGGUUUGGAAUUACUGUAGACUAUUUUGUACCAAUCACUGAGGUCAUCAAGUGCACUGGAUCAGCUGAGCUGGCGUCUGCCAAUGGAACACACAUUGUUCAACGAAUGACCAGCAGGUUGUUCAUGUUUAGUUUGCGCCUGGUAUGAUGUUGAAAAUUUGCUCCAAAUCAUCGUGAAAGUUCGUACCUUGAGAAGGUAUAGCGUUAAUGAACAUUGAAAUUGCACUUGUGGAAGGACUGGACAUUUGUAAAGGAUGGCAACGCACGUUCUAACCGUCUGGAUUACCAGAACAACCUAUUCG